AUGAGGCAAGACAGAAGUAAAUAUCCCCAUGUUACAAGAAAAUGGACACCCCCAAAAGGGGAGUAGUCCCUCAAACUGCACAGCUGGCAGAGCUGGAAUUCUGACUCCAUGUCCAGCUUUCACUCAGCUGGCAUCAGCCCAGGCACCUCUUAGCCCUCAUAUUCCCUUCUCCCCCCGCUGACCCCACUGUGCCUUCAGACACUUUCCAUGCCUUCCCUGGCUCUGAGCCCCAUCUUGGGGGUGAUUAAUAUGAUAUCAUCAAGACUGAGCUCUCAUCCUGGUCACACUGUGAGCCCUAAUCCUGGACUGAUUCCUGAUUCUGGUUGCAGACUGAGCCCCCACCCCUUGCCACUAACUCCCUUAAUAGUGUUUAGAGCCAAACCUAAGAUGGGCCAGGCCUAGAAGACAUGGAUGGCUGAGUUCUGUGCCUCUCCAGGAGCAGGGUUGGUGUAGCUGCAGCCUGGCUAAAUGCUCUGGCAUGGUUUCCCUCCAUCCUGGACUAGACUCAAAGCCACAGCCUGUGCCCAGUCCAUUUCUGUCCCCUCCCACUGCUCUUCCUUGUGUGGGUGGGGGAUUGUGGGGCCCAUGGUACAUGUUGAGCAGAGAUUGUCUGAUGAGUCAUCCUUGCUCAAAACAAAGGAGUCUGGCAUGGACAGUACUUCUGGCUUCUCUGCUGCAAGGGAAUAACCUCUCCAACCCAAAUGUUCAAGUACAACCUUGACCUGGCUGUUUCACACCUUGGGCUCUUCAUUCCCCUCCCUCACCACGUCAGCUUUUCUUCAACAUGAUUUCUCGGAGUUGCCAGAAAACGGGCUUGUUGCAGCUUUUGCCCUGCUUUUAGUACUGGCACCUCCUGUAGGAUCAGUUGGAAGGCAAGGCUGACUUCUAACCACUCGUGUCUCUUAUCCAUGCCAGGAGAGGUGGAAGGUCAGGGAAUGGGCACUGGCAGAUGCUACGUCUGGAGAAGUUGGAGGGAAGAAGAUAAGGGAUGGUAGGGGUCAUGAUCUUGGUAUAUCAUUGAGUCAUAAAAUGUCAGAGCAGCCGGGAUGCUGAAAGACUUCCCCUCCUGCCACUGUGUCAGACAGAUGGAGAAACGAGGUCCCUGGCAGAGGCAGAGGAACAUUCCCAAGAUCCUACAGUAACUUGAUCAGAUUGGGGGUCAAAGUGUGGAUUCUUUGUGCUGAAGAUCAGCCUUGGGCAGAGGGGGCAGGUUCCAUGGCCCUAAAGCCAGAAGAGGACUCCUAGAGAAGGCCCAGGAAGAUAGAGGGAGGGGCUCCAGGGAAGGAGGACCUGGGAGUUUUCCAGCCCUGGGACCUCUGGUUGGAGGGAAGUAAGGUUCCAGUUCCUCAUCAUCAGAUACAUAGCAAGCACAGCCUGGGUCAGAAUAUGGGGAUGUGCCCAGCCAUACAGUGGGGGGGAGCUUGCUUGCUCUCUUGGCCAUGUUUUGCUUUGUGGGGGUUAGAACCAGUUGUGUUCCCCACAAUCCUGGGGUUCCUUUGCUUGACCUAAGAGUCUGCUCUCCUUGCUGAACCCUCAAGGCCCAAAACAGCUCACUUGAGCAAUUCUGCAGCUGCCUCUGGCUGGUCACAGGCCAUGGGAGAUGUAAGAGACAUCUGGACCCAUAGUAAGAGUAUGUAUUUGAGGAGGAAACUUGGGAGAGGGCCACCCUGGUGGGGGUUGCUUAUGGGAGCAGACUGGCUCAGAGAAAAUCACGGCAGGGGUGGGAAGCCUGUCCCUCCUCCAAGCCAAGGGUCUGGGCUGCAGGUUUAGGGUGGCAGGGGGCACUUGGGCUCUUGCCUCAGUGCUGCUACCUGGUGCCUACAUCAAAGACUGCUUUGGCAGCCUCUGGGCUGUGUCACCCUGGGGGCCAUCAUUUCCCCACCUAGUUCAUUUACAUGUCUCUCUGCCGCUAGGCUGGCAACUCUUUGAAAGCCAGAUAUUGCAGGGUGGGUUCUUUGGGAAACAGACUGUGACUCGAGGUUUAUCAUGUUGGAUGUUCUUUAGGGAGAGCUCUUGAGAUGGAUGCCUGUAGAAGGGAGGGGGAAGAGGCAGAACUGGGCAAAGGGAGAAGUUGAGCUAUAAUGCAGGCCCCAACCUAGCCUUGGAUGCCUCAAUGGAAGGUCUGGAGUGGAAUGGCCCAUCACAUUCCCACACUGGGUUGAAAUAGCUGGGCCUUUAUACCCCAAAUGGAUUGAUCUUUGCAUAUAGAUCUCCCAGAGCAGGACAUGACCUCAAGUAAAGCAAGUAUCUGCCACUGAAGCACCUGGAGGGGCUGACAGCCCACAGAACUCCUGCUGGUGUUCUCCUGCCCACAGAACUCCAGAGUGGGCAUCCCCUCUCUGUCUACCUUGCUGGUUUCAGUUCCCUUUUGAGGAAUGCUAGUUCAAGGAAUUAAUAGAUUGCUUUGAAAGAAGCCCCUAAAAUAUUUUGGCCUCAUUCUCCCUAUCUCUUAAAUGGGCAUAUCUUCUACAUUUAGGUUAUAAAAGGCAAAGCUCUUUAUAAACACCACACCCCGGAGUUCCUGUCGUGGCGCAAUGGUUAACGAAUCUGACUAGGAACCAUGAGGUUGCAGGUUUGAUCCCUGGCCUUGCUCAAUGGGUUAAGGAUCUGGCGUUGCCGUGAGCUGUGGUGUAGGUUGCAGAUUCAGCUUGGAUCCCUCGUUGCCGUGGCUCUGGUGUAGGCUGGCAGCUGCAGCUCUGAUUAGACCCCUAGCCUGAGAACCUCCAUAUGCCACAGGAGUGGCCCUAGAAAAGGCAAAAAGACAAAAAAAAAAAUAUAUAUAUAUGUAAACACCACACCCCAUGGAUGUAUGAAGCCUCCCUUCAGUUCUCUUUCAGUUGACCCUGCACUGAAAGGUAUUGGGAGCACUGAAGGUAUUGGGGGGAGUGGAGGGUAGGUGGGGUGGACGUGGCAGUUUGUGGUUGAUACUUUAGGGGAAACCACAGCUGCCUCUUAUUCAGGGCUGUCAGUGAGGCCAGGGGAGGGGAUGUUCACAUGCCGGAUGGGCCGUGGGCACUGAGUCACCACCCAGAGGAAAACCACAGCUUCAAAAGCCCCAAGGCGCAAGGAAGGGUGGCAGAUGAGCUGGAUGAGAGCCAGGCCUCAGGAGCGGGGAUUUGGACAGCCUCCUUACCUCAAGGGCUAGUCCUGUUCCAGCUUGCAGGGCAGCACCUACCAUAUGCCAUUAGAAAGGCUGGCUUGGUCACACAUCUCUGUGCAGCAGAACAGAGCAAGAGCUGGUUGAUCCUGGAAAAGAACCAAGCCUCUCUGGUGUCUAGUUCCCCACUCCCUGGGAAAAUGGGGACAAUUCUUGAAUUGGAGAAAAUUCAUCUAAAGUAUCUGAAGACACAUAAUCUGCAACUUUGCUAAUAUGAUAAUUUUACUAUCUUCAUUAUAGUCUAGAGUGGCUGCUAUCUGUCACAUUGCAUUCAUCUACUGAUUCCUCAAUAAUUGCAUAGUAAUCCUCCUCAGGCAGUGUUUUCCUUCUUUGUAAGAAGAUGAAAUAUUCUCAAUUCUCAUCUUAUGCAAUGAAAGCUAAAAUAAGGAAAGAUGAUGUCUCCAUACUUCUUUACACCUUCUUGAAAGAUGUCUAAUGCUUUGGAAAAAACAAUUAAAAAACUAAAGGAUGGUGGAAUAGUAAUGAUUUGUGUCACUAUUGAAUCAUUCUCCAGGCAAUUUCAUCAUUCUUCUGUUUUCUUAUUACUUUUUGAAAAUUUAUUUAUUUAUUUAUUUAUUGCUUUUUGGGGUCACACUCACAGCAUGUGGAGGUUGCCAGACUCGGUGUCAAACUGGAGCUGUAGCCACCGGCCUACACCACAGCCACAGCAGUGGCAGAUCUGAGCCACGUCUGUGACCUACACCACAGCUCACUGUAAUGCUGGAUCCUCAACCCUCUCAACGAGGCCAGAGAUCGAACUCGCAUCCUCAUGGAUGCUCGUCAGAUUCGUUUCUGCUAAGCAUGGGAAACUCCUGUUUUCUUAUUAUUUUAAACACUUUUAAACAUUUAUCUUUAUUUUUUAUUAUAGUUGAUUUACACUGUUCUGUCAAUUUCUGUUGCACAGCAAACUGACCCAGUCAUACAUCCAUAUACAUUCUUUUUUUCACAUUAUCCUCCAUCAUGUUCCAUCACCAAAUGAUCAGAUACAGUUCCUUGUGCUGUACAGCAGAAUCUCAUUGCUUAUCCAUUCCAAAUGCAAUAGUUUGCAUCUAGGAACCCCAAACUCCCAGUCCCUCCCCUUCCCUCUUGGCAACCACAAGUCUGUUCUCCAUGUCCAUGAGUUUGCUUCUUUUCUGUAGGUGGAUUAAAGUCUAGAUAUGUGAUAUCAUGUGGUUUUUGUUUUUCUCCUUCUUACUUACUUCACUUAGUGUGAGAGUCUCUAGUUCCAUCCAUGUUGCUGCAAAUGGCAUUAUUUUUUUCUCCUUUAUGGCUGAGUAGUAUUCCAUUGUGUAUAUGUACCACAUCUUCUUAAUCCAUUCGUCUGUCAUUGGACAUUUAGGUUACUUCCAUGUCUUGGCUAUUGUGAAUAGUGUUGCAGUGAACAUAGGGUGCAUGUAUCUUUUUCAAUUAAAGCUUUGUCUGAAUAUAUGCCCAGGAGUGGGAUUGCUGGAUUAUGUGGUAGUUCUAUAUUUAGCUUUCUGAGGUACCUCCAUACUGUUUUCCAUAGUGGUUGUACCAAUUUACAUUCCCACCAACAGUGUAGGAGGAUUCCUUAUUUUAGACUCUUUCUAAAGCAUGAUUAAGAGUAAUUAACAUGUAAUUAUGGAAAAUAGUUCCUAGGAGGAUUAAACAGCAAAUAUUCUAAGAUCUAAGAAAAAGAAGAUUAUUAAAGGUCAUGAUAUAUUUUUGGAUUUGUAAAGGAUCCAAUGGAUUGAUAUGAUAAUUUUAAGAUAGAAUAAGCUUCAUUCGAUUGAAAAAUAAUUGGGGUUCCCAUCAUGGCUCAGUGGUAACGAAACUGACUAGUAUCCAUGAGGUCGCAUUUUUGAUCCCUGGCCCCACUCAGUGAGUUAAGGAUCUGGUGUUGCUGAAAGCUAUGGUGUAGGUUGCAUAUAUGGCUUGGAUCUCACAUUGCUGUGGCUGUGGUGUAAGCCAGAAGCUGCACUCCGAUUAGACCCCUCGCCUGGAAACUUCCAUAUGACACGGAAGCAGACCAAGAAAUGGCAAAAAGACAAAAAAAAAAAAAAAAAAAAAAAAGUGCUGAAAGAACAAACCCUGCUGAUCUACAAUUCUAUGCCCAGCAAAAUAUCCUUCAAAAAUGAAGGCAAAAUGAAUGUGUUCAAAUGGACAGAAGUUGAAAGAAUUUGGUUUGUUGCUAGUAUACACUGGUGCUACAGGAAAUUACUAGGACAGUUCUUUAGGCUGAAGGAAAAGAUUCCCUGAUAGAACUACAGAAGGGAAUGAAGGACAGAGCAAAAGUAAAAAUGUAUAUAAUUAUAUGUGAAUAUUGACUGUUUAAACAACAAUAAUAUUUCACAAGAUUUUUAACAUAGAGGUAAAUAUAUUCCAACAAUAGCACCAAAGUGGGAGUUAACUGUUCUAAGAUAAUUUGCAUAACUACUAACUGUAAAAGUACUAGUUUAAGGUAAAUUAAGUACCUUAAAUAAAUCAAGGAUACAGGAGUUCCCGUCGUGGCUCAGUAGUUAACGAAUCCGACUAGGAACCAUGAGGUUGUGGGUUCAAUCCCUGGCCUUGCUCAGUGGAUUAAGGAUCCGGCAUUGCCGUGAGCUGUGGUGUAGGUUGCAGACUCGGCUCAGAUCCCACCUUGCUGUGGCUCUGGCGUAGGCCAGCAGCUACAGCUCCAAUUCGACCCCUAGCCUGGGAACCUCCAUAUGCUGAGAGAGCGGCCCUAGAAAAGGCAAAAAGACAAAAAUAAAUAAAUAAGAAUAAAAAAUUUAAAAAAAUCAAGGAUGCAUAUUGUAGUCUCUAGGAUGACCACUAAAAUCAUAAUAAAAGAAGGUGCAAUGAAAAAGCUAAUAAUAGAGCAAAAUGAAAUAGUAAAAAUUAAAAAAAAUUUUAAAUUAGCUGAAAGGAAAGUGUAAAAGGAGGAAUAAAAUUACAAAGGCUAAAUAGAAAACAAAUAACAAGGUAAAUCCAACUAUACUAGUAAUUAUAAUUAAUGUAAAUAAUAUAAAUAUGUCAAUUAAAAGACAAGGGUUAUCAGACUAGAUGAAAAACAAAAUCCAAACCUGAUGUUUAUAGAAGACUCACUUUAUUGUUUUUGUUUUUCACAUUUUUCAAAUUAUAGUUGCUUUACAAUAUUGUGCCAAUUUCUGCUGUACAGCAAAGUGACCCAGUCAUACACACACACACACACACACACACACACACAUACAUUUCUGUUCUUUUUUUUUUUUUUUUAAGGCAGCACCUGUGGCACAUGGAAGUUCCCAGGCUAGGGGUUAAAUCAGAGCUGUAGCUGCUUGCCUACAGCCACAGCAAUGCCAGAUCCAAGCUGUGUCUGAGACCUACACCACAGUUCACGGCAAUGCCAUAUCCUUAACCCACUGAGCAAGGCCAGAGAUUGAAACCGCAUCCUCAUGGAUACUAGUCAGAUUCUUAACCCACUGAGCCACAAUGGGAACUCCUGCUUAUAUUUUUCUUAGUCUGUGAGUUUAAACAAAAAUUAUCUACUGUAGUCUUGGAGGGCUAUUUAUAUGCAGAAACGUCCCUGAUAGCUUGUGAGGGCGAACUAUACUUUUGGCUGCUUUUAGUUUGGAUGCUUGCUGUCUCUUUCCUCAGUGAGUGCAGGCCGUUAUCCCUUGAUGGGGUGUAAAGGUAUAUGGACUGCUUGUGCUUCCAGGGAGGUGGGGGCAAUGGGUGGCACCUGCAGGUGGUGCCUAGUUGCUGGGACCUUGCCAGUAGCCACACUCUAUGGGGAGGCGGGGUGGUGCCCAGAACCCUUGCAGUGGCCACAGGGGGCAUAUGUAAUCCCAGGGAGGUGAGGGCAGCAGGUGGCACUCUGGGGCCCUCCACGGCAGCAACACCUGAGGUGACUGGGGCUGCAGGCCCGUGCCUGGUCAUGGGACCCUCAGUGGUGGCAGGCCUCACCCACCUCUGGAGUCUGAGAUUGCCACAGCAGUUUGCACCCACCCUAGUAACAUGUGCAGGAGGCACCUGCCACAUGAGAGCUCUCAUGUGUGCAGAGAAAGAAGUUCCUAUGGUGGUCCUGUUCCCCUCUCCCCUCGUGCUCACCAGCAAUGAGGCCUUGCUGCUCUGGCAGGCCCAGGCCUCCUCCUGCACUGCCUCAGCUGUGGUGCACCACUCCCUAGUCCUUUCAGGCUGUUUCCACACAGCCAACCCCAGUGCUCCCCACAGAAGUGACCUCCAUAGCCCAAGUCUCAGCACUCAGCCCCCGUCUGAGUGUCUCGGCUGUGGUUUCCCAGGCGGCGUUACUGCUGCUCUCUCUGCUUUGCCCUCCUCAGACCAAUUGCUGUGCUUUUCUCUGAGGCCUUGAGGCUCCUUCUCAUCCCAGCUGACCUCCCUGUCAGUUAGGUGGCCUCCCAGGGGACAGACUCCUUUCCUCUUUCACAGCUCCCUCUCAGGAGUGCUGGUUCCAACCUGAUUCCUUGUUUUCUCUUCUCUCUCUCUCUCUCUUUUUUUUCUCCUUUUGUUCUACCCAGUUAUGUGGAGCUUUUCUUGUCCUUUUUGGAAGUCAGAGGUCUUCUCCCAGCAUUCAGUAGAUGUUCUGUGCAAGUCAUUCUACAUUUAGGUGUUUUUUUUUUUAUUAUUUGUUUGUAGGAGAAGGUAAAUGCCAACGUCCUACACCUCUGCCAUCUUUUUAAAAAUUUUAUUUAUUUAUUUAUUUUUUGAUCACAUCUGUAGUUGUAUAAUGAUCAUAACAAUCCAAUUUCACAGGAUUUCCAUCCCACAACCCAAGAACAUCCCCCCACCCCCCAAAAUGUCUCCUCUGGAGACUAAAUUUUUCAGUGUAUGUGAGUCAGCAUCUGUUCUGCAAAGAAGUUCAGUCUGUCCUUUUUUUCAAAUUCCGCAUGUCAGUGAAAGCAUUUGAUGUUGGUGUCUCAUUGUAUGGCUGACUUCACUUAGCAUGAUAAUUUCUAGGUCCAUCCAUGUUGCUAAAAAUGCUGGUAUUUCAUUCCUUUUAAUGGCUGAGUAAUAUUCCAUUGUGUAUAUGUACCAUAUCUUCUUGAUCCACUCCUCUGUCGAUGGACAUUUCGGUUGUUUCCAUGUCUUGGCUAUUGAACAUAAUGCUGCAAUGAACAUUGGAGUACAUGUGUCUUUGUGAGUCAUGGUUUUCUCUGGGUAGAUGCCCAGGAGUGGGAUUGCUGGAUCAAAUGGUAGUUCUAUUUUUAGUUUUCUGAGGCAUCUCCAUACAGUUUUCCACAGUGGUUGCACCAAUUUACAAUCCCACCAACAGUGUGAUAGGGUUCCUUUUUCUCCACACCCUCUCCAGCACUUACUGUUUGUAGACUUUUGGAUGAUGGCCAUUCUGGCUGGUGUAAGGUGGUACCUCAUUGUGGUUUUGAUUUGCAUUUCUCUAAUAAUGAGUGAUGUUAAACAUCUUUUCAUGUGUUUUCUGAUCUGUAUGUCUUCUUUGGAGAACUGUCUGUUUAGAUCUUCUGCCCAUUUUUGGAUGGGGUUGUUUGUUUUUUUGGUAUGGAGCUGCAGAAGGUGUUUAUAAAUUUUGGAGAUUAAUCACUUGUCAGUUGAUUGAUUUGCAAAGAUUUUCUUCCAUUCUGUGGGUUGUCUUUUUGUUUUGUUUAGGGUUUCUUUUGCUGUGCAGAAACUUUUAGGUUUGAUUAGGUCCCAUUUGUUUAUUUUUGUUUUUAUUGUCAUGACUCUAAGAGGUGGAUCUGAGAAGAUGUUGCUGUCGUUUAAGUCAGAGAGUGUUUGGCCUAUGUUUUCCUCUAAGAGUUUUAUAGUGUCUGGUCUUAUAUCUAGGUGUUUAAUCCAUUUUGAGUGUAUUUUUGUGUAUGGUGUUAGGGAGUGUUCUAAUUUCAUUCUUUUCCAUGUGGCUGUCCAGUUUUCCGAGCACCACUUAUUGAACAGGCUGUCUUUUCUACACUCUGCCAUCUUGAUCCCUCCUCACAGAAAUCUCACUUUAUUUUUUUUAAUGAUUAUUUUUUUUUAGGAAGCUUACUUUAAAUAGAAGGAUACAGAAGGGUGAAAGUCAAAGGUUAGAAAGCAAUGUCAUAUAAAUAUUAACCCCUAAAAAGCUGAUAUGGACACAUGAACACUGGAAAUUUUAAGUUAAGAUGUAUUAUAAGUUCCUGUCGUGGCGCAGCAGAAACAAAUCUGACUAAGAACCAUGAGGUUGUGGGUUCAAUUC
rnacentral:lncRNA from 1 species